rnacentral:rRNA from 1 species
UUAGAGUUUGAUCCUGGCUCAGAACGAACGCUGGCGGCAGGCUUAACACAUGCAAGUCGAACGCCCCUUUCGAGGGGAGUGGCAGACGGGUGAGUAACACGUGGGAACGUACCUCUUUGUUCGGAAUAACUCAUGGAAACGUGAGCUAAUACCGGAUACGCCCUUUUGGGGAAAGAUUUAUCGCAGAGAGAUCGGCCCGCGUCUGAUUAGCUAGUUGGUGAGGUAAUGGCUCACCAAGGCGACGAUCAGUAGCUGGUCUGAGAGGAUGAUCAGCCACACUGGGACUGAGACACGGCCCAGACUCCUACGGGAGGCAGCAGUGGGGAAUAUUGGACAAUGGGGGCAACCCUGAUCCAGCCAUGCCGCGUGAGUGAUGAAGGCCUUAGGGUUGUAAAGCUCUUUUAUCCGGGAAGAUAAUGACUGUACCGGAAGAAUAAGCCCCGGCUAACUUCGUGCCAGCAGCCGCGGUAAUACGAAGGGGGCUAGCGUUGUUCGGAAUCACUGGGCGUAAAGGGCGCGUAGGCGGACGAUUAAGUCAGGGGUGAAAUCCCGGGGCUCAACCUCGGAAUUGCCCUUGAUACUGGUUGUCUUGAGAUUGGAAGAGGUAAGUGGAAUUGCGAGUGUAGAGGUGAAAUUCGUAGAUAUUCGCAAGAACACCGGUGGCGAAGGCGACUUACUGGUCCAUAUCUGACGCUGAGGCGCGAAAGCGUGGGGAGCAAACAGGAUUAGAUACCCUGGUAGUCCACGCCGUAAACAAUGGAUGCCAGCUGUUGGGGAGCAUGCUCCUUCAGUGGGGCACUCAAC